GGAAUCUUGCACAAUGGGGGAAACCCUGAUGCAGCGACGCCGCGUGAGCGAUGAAGCCCUUCGGGGUGUAAAGCUCUUUCGACAGGAACGAUUAUGACGGUACAUGGAGAAGAAGCUGCGGCUCACUAAGUGCCAGACGCCGCGGUAAUACGUAGGCAGCAAGCGUUGUUCGGAGUUACUGGGCGUAAAGAGUGUGUAGGCGGUUUGCCAAGUCUGGUGUGAAAUCUCCCGGCUUAACUGGGAGGGUGCGCCGGAUACUGGCAAGCUAGAGUGCGGGAGAGGGAAGCGGAAUUCCUGGUGUAGCGGUGAAAUGCGUAGAUAUCAGGAGGAACACCUGUGGUGUAGACGGCUUCCUGGACCGCCACUGACGCUGAGACACGAAAGCGUGGGGAGCAAAC
rnacentral:rRNA from 1 species